rnacentral:misc_RNA from 1 species
GAUGAAGAACGCAGCGAAAUGCGAUAACUAAUGUGAAUUGCAGAAUUCAGUGAAUCAUCGAGUCUUUGAACGCACAUUGCGCCCCCUGGUAUUCCGGGGGGCAUGCCUGUCCGAGCGUCAUUGCUGCCCUCAAGCACGGCUUGUGUGUUGGGCUCCGUCCCCCCGGGGACGGGCCCGAAAGGCAGUGGCGGCACCGAGUCCGGUCCUCGAGCGUAUGGGGCUUUGUCACCCGCUCUGUAGGCCCGGCCGGCGCCAGCCGACAACCCAUCAUCCUUUUCAGGUUGACCUCGGAUCAGGUAGGGAUACCCGCUGAACUUAAGCAUAUCAAUAAGCGGAGGA